UUUUUUGCUCCACGUAUGCAUGCUUUCUACGAUUCGGAGAUCAGUGCAGCCCAAAGAUCACAUUGGAUUCUCCUCACUACACUCCAUCUUCUAACCUAGUCUGCAUCACGGCUAGGUGCAUCCGUUGCCAAGUUCAUCCAAUAUAUGCCAACCGCAUUGCAAGGACGACCAUAUGCACACACACACCACAGUCCACAGGAGACAGAUAGCUAGCUAGCUUACUCUUUAGUCAUACAUACACUUAUAAAUAGCCACCGGCUCUGUGCUCAUCAGCAAGGCAGAUUAAACAAGUGAAGUGGUCCACAUCAAAAAUGAAGUAAUCAGGUCUAGGGAGUCAAAAUUUGGUUGGUUGUCCACUGGAGUUCUCCUCAAUCCACUUCAGUAGAUAGCUAUGGCUAGGCCUCAUUGCAUUGCACUGUUACAUAACUGUGAUCAUGGGGCCAAAAGCUAGCUAUGUAUAGUGAAGUGCUUGGGGGAACUCCAGUUGACACUCAGCAUUUUCAAGUUAGGUAUGUAAGUGCUUGUACUUUAUGAAUUUGUAAGUGACAGAGAAUGAUUAGGUUUGGAGUCCCUAGGAGUUCCUUUCAAGCACUUUACGACACACUGUAUUGAGAGUUGUCGUGAAGUGUUUGGGGGAACUCUUAGUG
rnacentral:precursor_RNA from 1 species